GGAACACCUGGCAGAGAACGCCACACGAGCAGGUGACCUGUUGCAAUCCGAAAAUGCGCUAGUCCUUGCUCUCCAGUCUCCAUUUGACUCGAAGGAGGCGACAGGGUGGGAAAGAAUAUUGGGGUCUUACGAGGAGUAAGAGAUCAAGAGAAUACUGCAACUGCAACUAGCAAGUGCUGAGUGUAUUUACCUCCAGAACAUGCAUCUUCCAUAGAAGAGGAUAAUCUUAGCAGCUAAACACUUAAAAUGUUUUCCACUAUUCAAGAUUACAGCCAUCAAGACCACAUGCCCGAAACAAGACACAUGAUUGGCAGAGGAGGCCUCUACCUUCCCUUCAACAUCUUUGGAAAAGACCCCUCACCAGACCUGGGGUUUCCUCCUUGGCAGAAUGGACAGACCAGUCCACGAUGAAUCUCUCCUGAGGAAAGAGCCCUCUCCUCUAGCACUUAAGUCAAGCAUUUUCCCCACAGCUCAUAGAAACGUAUUCCAUACUGUCAUGGCCCAGGGCACUGGCACCUCUGAGUGAGAAACCAGCUGAGGAUUCUGAGGUUAUCUGGAAAGGACUGCCCUCCUUCAGGUACAACAGCCACUCUGUUCCCCAAGGCCUCCCUCUCCUUGCUGUCCUUCACACAACACAGCCUCUCUUCUGAAGCCCUCUUGAGCUACAAGCCUGAUCCCAUCUCCUAGUGCAUUGUGACAGAGUUGGAGUUCCUGGGCUCUCUCCCGCUUCUGCCAGGCCUGAGGGUCCUCCACACAGUGUCUACCUGUCCCCCAAUUCCCACACUCUCUGGUGCUUUAUGGGACAUCACAGCCCUCCACACUACCAGCAGUCCAUAAAACUGGAUCCCCUUUGCUUUCAGACCCUCCUGUGGCUUCCUACUGCUCUGAGGAACGUCAGGUGGGCCUUCACCAUCUCACUUUGCACCAUAUCCUGGCCACCAUGCCAUUCCCUCAGAGGAAGUGACCCCUUCCCCAAAUGCUCUCCCACAUCAACCAGCUCUAUUUGUUCCAUCCAGAAAGCUGUUGAUAAUUAUUCUGGUUAGAACCAGCCUCCCAUCUCAAGCAUAGGAGUUUCCCAAGGUGUCCAGGAGACUACUUACUUCACUGUUUCCCUGUGGGGGAAUCUGUCUCCUGAGCUAAAGAAAUACAAUCCUGGGAGACAAGGUCCUGUCAGACAUCCUAUUUCUUUCAUGGGGUUCAGUGUUUUGUGCAUAAUCCAAUGGACCCUUCACAGAAAUGUCUAAUGGACACGAAAUGAGAAGAUUAUCAGUUUCUAGGAAAGACAUGCAUCCUGCUAGGAAUGGACUACUUCCCAAAGAGAGCUCUAAAUGUUUUCACCAAGUAUAUACUUGGGGCCCCAAGCUGGGUUGAGAGUGAAUGAACUAAGAGUGUGGGCAGCCAUCAAGGUUCCACCCAUCAACUGCCUGGAAAAACAACUCUGCAAACCUUGCUCCCAGAACCAUUUGCAUUCUCAGGCUUUUCCCAGGAAGUACCACUAGAGAUCUGAAAACAGCUCUUCUGCAGCUAAUCAGGACAUGCAGAGAGGGGCAGCUCAAGGUCUGUAGUUGGUAUCUUGGGCAGAGGCACCUACUGUUUCUAGCUGUGAGCUUUGGGAACUUCCUCUGUGAAAGACGUCAGGAGUGGGAGGCUCCCAAGGAUCAAAAUGUCAUGUGUGAUUUAGGCGCAUGCCAAGUUCCUCCUGACUUUGUUCCAUUACAAGCUCCAUCACUGAAGGAGGAAGAGAACAGCUGGAAAAUUAUGACAAAAAUGAGAGGCAGCCACUGGCAUUUGUGUUCUCAUUUGUAGUUUCUGGUUUUUGUUUUGCCUUUUAAUUUUUUUCCUAGAAAAGAAAAACACAACCAGAGGAAUUUAUAUGACAAACUAUCAGUAUCAGAAUGGCAGGGAAAAGUGAAAGAAAGGCCAGAGGACCAGGAAGCUAGUAAAAGUGGGUUCCAAACCACAAGGAACAGUCCACAGGGUCAAGUCCUCAUUCACUUUGGCAUGCAUGUUUGGUGCCUGGUCUUCUGGCCUGCUCCCUCAGAUGUCAUGUUAGAGAGCUGGCCACAUACUUCAGAAACCUGCCAAUGAUGAGCUCAGGACUUCACAGAAAGGUAGUCUUAAUUUAGCUCCUUGAUUUUGUGCUCAGGUAUCCCCUGGCAGCUUUUCUUGCUUCAGAGAAGGGUCUGGAAGAAUGGGAGAGUCAUACUGGGGCACACUUUGGCAUCACAGCAGGGAGCUCCAAGCAGAUGCUUUCUUAUGGGCACACUUGGUCUUCAUCUGCAUGGGCAUUUGUCCACAUAUGCCCCACUCUUUCUGGC